GGCACGAGGACAACUCUCGAGCAAUUUGACACAAUCCCCCUUGAGAGGCACCCGAUGUUAACUCUACUGGGGCUCUGCUGUCUACAAAAGACACUAAUAGAGGCACCAUUACACCAUUUCUUAAGGAAAGGAAAACUUAAGCACAAGGGAUUCAACAGAUGCUGGGAAUCCACAGCAACACACACAAGAUGCUGGAGAAACUCAGCAGGUACUGCCUGACCAGUCGGGUAUUUCCAGCAUUUCCGCUUACGUUUCAGAUAUCCAGCGCCUGCAGUUCGUUUGUCAUUUUCAAGCAUCGAUCUAACACUGCCUUACAAAUUUUUAAAGAUUGCUUCCUCUGCCAUUUGAGGAACAGAAUUCCUUAUAAGAUGGAAAAUAGCUCAACAUGGGGGUGGGCAGUUAAGAAGCCUUAUAGAAUGCUCACUAUUAUUAGUUGGCACUGAGUUCAAAAGUUAAAAGGUUAUGUUGCAACUUCAUAAAACUCUGGUUAGACCACAUCUGGAAUAUUGUGCACAGUUCUGGUCUCCCCACUAUAGAGAGGAUGUGAGGCUUCGGAGAGGGUGCAGGAAAGGUUUAACAGGACGCUGCCUGGUUUAGAGGGCGCGUGCUAUCACGACAGGCUGGACAAACGGGUUGUUUUCUUUGGAGCAGCGGAGGCUAAGGGGAGAUCUGGUAGAGGUUUACAAGAUUAUACGGGGCACAGAGGCACAGACAGAAGUAUCUUUUCCCCAGGGUAGAAAUGUCUAAUACCAGAGGGCAUGAAUUGAAGGUAAGAGGGGGUAGAGUCAGGGGGAAUGUGAAGGGUGAAUUUUUUAUUCAGAGAGUGGUGGAUGCCUGGUAUGGUGGGAGAGGCAAAUACAUUUCCCAGAACUCUUCACGAUUUUCUUUGCUUCAAUUUGCUCUUCUACUAUCAGGCAAAUAGAAUUAAGGAUCGAUUUAAAAUUCCCCUAGUUCCUUUCCCAGCUGAUAGUGAAAAAUAUAAAUCCACCAAAAUAUUUAUCUUUGUACAUACAAAUACAUUUUGUUUUUUGUCAACAUUCCUUCUCUCCCGUUGUGAAUGGCAUCCUCCAGUCAGUGUGGCAGACGUUCUCUCUGGGCCUCACUCCGGUUUUAGGCUACAGAACACCAUCACUCAUACCCACAGCACUCUUGUUUACGGUUCUGUCUAAAUACUUCUUACAUUCCCAUCAAAUCUGCUUCUACCACUUCCGUUGUCAUGUUUAGAGAGCAUACAAAUCUCUGUGAUUUUAGAGCAAAACGUUCAUGGCAUCACACCUCAAACUGGCCACCAGAGGGAGGCAGAGAUGAUAUGGAUGAUAUACCCCCUCCUGCUCACCUGCCUAUUAGGCUAAUUAUUACCCCCAGUGCCUUGUCUGUAGUCUAGUAUAAGUUCUUUGUCCCUUAUUUCUUUGCUUGGUUUUGGAAUAGUCUUUUGUAAGUGAAGCUUUGCAUGUUUGUAGGAAUUGCUGGUUUCAGAAGCGCUAAUUGAUGUGUGUAUGUUUUUUUUUGGGAUAUUGCCUGUGAAUUUUUUGGACCCUCUGCCUGUACCUUGCCUGCUAAGGAUUCCAGUAGAGCCUUGUUGGAUGUUUUUUUCUGUAAUUUUGUGUGACUUUUCACUGUAAUUGGGUUUGCUGCUAUUCAGUGUGAGGGAAGUUAAAUCUGUAGAAGUUACCUCAUCAGCUGUGACUCAAUCUUUUAUCUCUUGCUUUAAAUCUAUACCCUUGGUGUAAAAAAAUACUUUGGAUCUACCCUCACUGUGCCUCAUAUAAUUUUAAAAACUUGGCAGUGGCACUGAGUGGAACAGCUAGUAGAGACACCCCCUCAGUGCCAGGGACCCAGGUUCACUCUUUCUCAUGCACGAUGCCCGUCUGGAGCUUCCAUGUUCUCCCUGUGACCAUGUGGGCUUCCCCUGGGUCCUCUGAUUUCCUUCAAAGUUCUAUAAGUGUCCCUGGUCUUUGGAUAAGUGCUGGAAAGGGGGAUAGCAGGUGAGAAUGUGGGGAAAGCUGAGAUUAAUGUGAACGGGUGGUUCACGUGUCUCCCCUCUCUAAGGAGAUUUGAGGCAAUUGAAGCUCCACUCACCCCCCCCCCAACCACCCAUCUCAAAUCAAUUUUAUAGGAGCACCAUUGAGAGCAUCUCAAGUUGCAUCUCCAUUUGGUGUUGGGAGCAGCCGGGUGUUGGACUGGAAGUCUCUACAAAGGACUGUGAAGCUGCCCGAGAGGAUCUAUUGGUGAUAUUUAUCAGGAGUGCUGUGUACACAGAGCCCUUAGUAUUAUCACCCAUCCUCUCAGAAUCCUCUUUAACAUUCUACUGUCAGGCAGGAGACUCUGGUGUAUAAAGACAAGAAUGGUCAGGAUGGGAAACAAUUUCUUCCCUUGGGCCAUUAGGCUUCUGAACUCCCUGCUGCGUCACAUUUGAAGUUGUCACUGGCUAAUCUGUUCUAUACCUUACAAUAUUUUAAUCUGUGCACCUUACUUUGUGUAAUUCAUCUGUAGAUUUUAACCUUGCUUCCAUAAGUUAUUGUGUGUUAUGUGUACCACAGUGCCUUGCACCCUGGUUCAGAGAAACACUGAUGGUAUUGAUGUAGUUAAAUGACAA